GAUGAACGCUGGCGGCGUGCCUAAUACAUGCAAGUCGAGCGAACAGACGAGGAGCUUGCUCCUCUGACGUUAGCUGCGGACGGGUUAGUAACACGUGGUUAACCUACCUUUAAGACUGGGAUAACUUCGGGAAACCGUCGCUAAUACCGGCUAAUAUAUUGAACCGCCUUUUUCAAUAGUGAAAUACGGUUUUGCUGUCGCUUAUAGAUGGAUCCGCGCCGCAUUAGCUAGUUGGUAAGGUAACGGCUUACCAAGGCAACGAUGCGUAGCCGACCUGAGAGGGUGAUCGGCCACACUGGAACUGAGACACGGUCCAGACUCCUACGGGAGGCCGCAGUAGGGAAUACGCUGAAACGGGCGAAAGUCUGACGGAGGAACGGCGCGGAAGUAAAGAAAGAGUGGGAGCCGGAAACAGGCGAUACUAGGGAAGAAAAAAUGUGGAAGUAACGAUGCAUAGAGUGACGGUACAAAAUAAGAAAGACACGGAUAACUACGGG
rnacentral:rRNA from 1 species